rnacentral:lncRNA from 1 species
UAAUCACAAAGUUUAGAGCUUCUUAGAUUCAAGAGUGUGAUUUCUCCUGCUAAAUCUGCAAAKAUGCAGCUGUAAAGCAUUAAUGGAGUACAAAUUUGCACCCAUCAUCAGACCAGGAGUUUCUGUUUCUACUCUGCACUGCGUAAACUGCUAUUUGUUACAUCCAAGUCUGAAGUAACGCUGAGAAGCUUCACAUCUGACUUGACUUGAAAAUGCUUUUAGCUAUUCUGAAAGCAAAAUCUACCAGCCUCCUGAGAUCUGUGUUAGUGUAAACCAAAGGCCRUGGAUGCUGCUGCUGCAAGUGACAGAAACAAAAUAUGUUUCGUUUCUGGUAUGUUUCACUAUAACAACUCCUAAAUUCAGGAGAACUUUGAAGUACUUCAAGAAUUCCUUCCCAUAGUUAUCUCACAACAGAAUCUGAAAAAGAGAAAGACAAAGGAAAUGCUAAGAAUAUUGACAGCAAGAAGGGGAAUGGUGGGAACCUGUGACUCGAGUGAGCAAGGUAUACAGAGUGGAUGUUCGUGCUACAAUAGUGGAAGACGACUACCAGCAGCAUAACUGAUUGUCACUGCUAGGGCUUCACUGUGCUGUAAAAAGAGGUGCUCAAUCUUUUCAAAUGUCAGCAUGUUAAAUUGACAAUAUCCAGCAAUAUGCAAUUAAGGUUUUUGCGAAAUUUCCCCAGCAUGAUUUCAUCUACCAAUGGGGCUCCCUAAUUUUUUAAUGCUCAUCUGUAUUUGAUAAAUCAUGAAAUUCUGAAUUUAGGGGAAAAAAAUUACCAACACCUACCUUUUUCAGCCCAUCUCUAAUAUUCUCAAACACAGCCAGAAAGUAAGAACGUACCUGAAAUCUCUCAGGGAAACUGCUCCUUGAAAAUUCUACAAAAGGAUGCCACAGAGUACACAAAAUUACAAUCUGGCCACAGAUAGGGAAGUGUGUCUACGUAGUGAUCAAAAGCACUGUCACUGUGAC